rnacentral:rRNA from 1 species
GUGCCAGCCGCCGCGGUAAGACAGAGGGUGCAAACGUUGCUCGGAAUUACUGGGCGUAAAGCGCGUGUAGGCUGACCGGAAAGUCGGGCGUGAAAGCCCUGGGCUCAACCCAGGAACUGCACUCGAAACUCCCGGUCUAGAGUGGUGGAGAGGGAAGUGGAAUUCCUGGUGUAGAGGUGAAAUUCGUAGAUAUCAGGAGGAACACCAGUGGCGAAGGCGGCUUCCUGGACACCAACUGACGCUGAGACGCGAAAGCGUGGGGAGCAAACAGGAUUAGAAACCCCAGUAGUCC